rfam:Myotis davidii contig188925, whole genome shotgun sequence.
AGAGGCCCUCUGUGGCCUGGGGGGAACGCUUGCCUCGUUGCUGCGGCAAUGAAGCAAGCAUUCUGCCAGGCCUCUCACGCUGCCUGC